rnacentral:rRNA from 1 species
UGGGGAAUAUUGCACAAUGGGGAAGACCCUGAUGCAGCGACGCCGCGUGAGCGAUGAAGUAUUUCGGUAUGUAAAGCUCUAUCAGCAGGGAAGAAAAUGACGGUACCUGACUAAGAAGCCCCGGCUAACUACGUGCCAGCAGCCGCGGUAAUACGGAGGAUGCGAGCGUUAUCCGGAUUUAUUGGGUUUAAAGGGUGCGUAGGCGGGCUGGUAAGUCAGCGGUAAAAUGCGGUGCUCAACGCCGUAAGUGCCGUUGAAACUGCCGGUCUUGAGUGAGCGAGAAGUAUGCGGAAUGCGUGGUGUAGCGGUGAAAUGCAUAGAUAUCACGCAGAACUCCGAUUGCGAAGGCAGCAUACCGGCGCUCAACUGACGCUGAGGCACGAAAGCGUGGGGAUCGAACAGGAUUAGAUACC